rnacentral:piRNA from 1 species
UNUACCUCUUGCGACUCUUAAAGUGACUGCC